AUAUUAAUGGUCUUGGUUGGUCGGGCUUUUAAAAAUUAUUUUUGGAUUUUUUAAGCUCCAAAAGUAUUUUUAUUGGUUGGUAAAUCAAUAAAUUUUAGUUUUUAACGGUAACAAAAUUAGUUUUAGUAGUUUUUACAAAAAGAGAGAUUUUCGAAAAACUAAAAGCAGAAAACAAAAACUCAGCAUUAUAAUUUUGCUGAAUAGUCCUUAAUUUAUGUUUUUUUAUAAUCUUUGUGGUCGUUAAUAAUAAACUAGUUUGGAACUUUGUGUUCUUCUUGAGCUUUCUAUAAUAAUCACUGCCUCUAUGGAUAAAACUGCUCGUUUAUGGCAUACUUUCACUUAUAAGCUUGAAAAUACUUUUAAUUAUGAUCUUGGAAGAGUUUGGGCCGUUGGAUCCAUCAAAGGAAUAAAUCAGGUUGUCUUUGGUUUUGACAAAGAAUUUUGCAUUGUCAAGAUAAUGAAAGGUGGAGAUUCUGUAUUAAGUGGUCAAACCUAAAAGAGUGUCAUGAUAAAAAAUAAUUGAAAAUAAGCUAAUUUCAAAGUUGACUAUAUGUUGUUUUUUGAUAAGUUAUGUAAAACAAAUAACAUUCUCAAUUUUUUUUAAUGUGUGUUCAUUGUAAUAAUCUUCCAUGAAAAGCUACAAUUUUUAUUUGUUCAAACUAAUAUGGCUUUUUCA